CCUACGGGAGGCAGCAGUGGGGAAUAUUGGACAAUGGGCGAAAGCCUGAUCCAGCCAUGCCGCGUGUGUGAAGAAGGCCUUCGGGUUGUAAAGCACUUUCAGUGGGGAAGAAAGCCUUGGGGCUAAUACCCUCGAGGAAGGACAUCACCCACAGAAGAAGCACCGGCUAACUCCGUGCCAGCAGCCGCGGUAAUACGGAGGGUGCGAGCGUUAAUCGGAAUUACUGGGCGUAAAGCGCGCGUAGGCGGUCUGAUAAGCCGGUUGUGAAAGCCCCGGGCUCAACCUGGGAACGGCAUCCGGAACUGUCAGGCUAGAGUGCAGGAGAGGAAGGUAGAAUUCCCGGUGUAGCGGUGAGAUGCGUAGAGAUCGGGAGGAAUACCAGUGGCGAAGGCGGCCUUCUGGACUGACACUGACGCUGAGGUGCGAAAGCGUGGGUAGCAAACAGGAUUAGAUACCCCGGUAGUC
rnacentral:rRNA from 1 species